rnacentral:lncRNA from 1 species
CUAGAAGGGCCAAACCUCAGUCCCUGUAGUGUCCCGUGUACACGUACGUAGGAUGUGAAGCAUUUGCCUGGCGGCCAUGCUCAUGCGGCCCGUGCGUCAACGUCGUGGCAUAGGAAAAAGAAAAAUGUCACCAAUUAAUUUAGAGAAAAAAAAGUGAUGGACCACGUAGCUUGCAACCAUGCUACACUACACAGCCGAAAAGAUUCGUUGAACCUUGCCAACCAGCCACAUGUGUUUUUAUCGUCGCAGUCGCAGCCUCACGGUCCCUCUCCGCAAAUUGAGCAGUGGCAAUGGAGCAUGUCUCAUGUGUGGGCCUGCCUGUACCAUGCCGCGCUGGACCUGUCGCGCUCGCCUGUACUGUACCAUGGUUUUCCAUUCCUGAUCGUUCAACCACCCGGCUGCGCUAGCUUUGUGAUACGCGCCCGUUCUUCUCGUCUCAGAAAAAAAUAAAAAUCAUGUCAUCAGGGUUCCAAAGAAGCUCUACAAGCAGUAGCAUUCGAUGGGAACCGACCGGAGGCGGGAAGUCGCCUCAGCUCUCUCAUACUCAUAGCCCGUUUGUCCUCUACGUACUCGACUGCUCCUGACUCCCUCUCACCUCCCAAUCCUUAUCCUCUUCUCUCUCUCGUCCGUCUCUCCAUCAGCUUAGUCUAUUCGUUUGAACUUAUUAACCAAUUAUUAGUUAUACAACAAUAUUUUUCUCUCACAACAGUUUCUAUCAUAGUUUACGAGUCAAACGAACAAGACAGUCCGGCGAGGCGAGGCGAGGCGAGGCGAGGCUGCAACUUGCCGGAGGAGCGAGCGUCGGAGCUGAAAGUUCAAUGUAAUCUAGUAGCCUGACUGAAAACAAAAUAGGGAAAGUGUACCUAUGCAAUUGGUUCCUAAAACUUUGAAAAACUUUAAUUUGUUCCGCUGCGCUGAAAGAUCGAAUGAUUUAGAAAUAGCCCCUAGGAUCGGAACAAUAUAUCUAGCUUGGUAGAAUCUAGCUAAGAGCAGACAUAUGAAAUUUGUUCAUGAAUUUUCAGAUGGCGUGUUAUAUAUUCUAACAUAUAUGUAUCCCUAUGAUAUAAUAUUAAUUAAAAAGCUAAGGAUUAUUUUCUUCGUCUGUCUAAUCGGACUCGGAGUGCCAACUCUCGUUUCUUCUAAUUUUAUAUAGUAUAUAAAUGGAACCAG